UACGGGGGGGGCAAGCGUUGUUCGGAAUUACUGGGCGUAAAGGGCUCGUAGGUGGCCAACUAAGUCAGACGUGAAAUCCCUCAGCUUAACUGGGGAACUGCGUCUGAUACUGGAUGGCUUGAGUUUGGGAGAGGGAUGCGGAAUUCCAGGUGUAGCGGUGAAAUGCGUAGAUAUCUGGAGGAAUACCGGUGGCGAAGGCGGCAUCCUGGACCAACACUGACACUGAGGAGCGAAAGCCAGGGGAGCAAACGGG
rnacentral:rRNA from 1 species